UACGAAGGGUGCAAGCGUUACUCGGAAUUACUGGGCGUAAAGCGUGCGUAGGUGGUGAGUUAAGUCUGUCGUGAAAGCCCCGGGCUCAACCUGGGAAUGGCGAUGGAUACUGGCUCGCUAGAGUGCGGUAGAGGAGAGUGGAAUUCCCGGUGCAGCAGUGAAAUGCGUAGAGAUCGGGAGGAACAUCAGUUGCGAAGGCGGCUCUCUGGACCAGCACUGACACUGAGGCACGAAAGCGUGGGGAGCAAACAGG
rnacentral:rRNA from 1 species